GAUGAACGCUGGCGGCGUGCUUAACACAUGCAAGUCGAACGAUGAAGCCCAGCUUGCUGGGUGGAUUAGUGGCGAACGGGUGAGUAACACGUGAGUAACCUGCCCUUAACUCUGGGAUAAGCCUGGGAAACUGGGUCUAAUACCGGAUAGGAGCGCCUACCGCAUGGUGGGUGUUGGAAAGAUUUAUCGGUUUUGGAUGGACUCGCGGCCUAUCAGCUUGUUGGUGAGGUAAUGGCUCACCAAGGCGACGACGGGUAGCCGGCCUGAGAGGGUGGCCGGCCACACUGGGACUGAGACACGGCCCAGACUCCUACGGGAGGCAGCAGUGGGGAAUAUUGCACAAUGGGCGCAAGCCUGAUGCAGCGACGCCGCGUGAGGGAUGACGGCCUUCGGGUUGUAAACCUCUUUCAGUAGGGAAGAAGCGAAAGUGACGGUACCUGCAGAAGAAGCACCGGCUAACUACGUG
rnacentral:rRNA from 1 species